rnacentral:rRNA from 1 species
CAACUUUCGAUGGUAGGAUAGAGGCCUACCAUGGUGGUAACGGGUAACGGGGUGUUAGGGCACGACACCGGAGAGGGAGCCUGAGAAACGGCUACCACAUCCAAGGAUGGCAGCAGGCGCGCAAAUUACCCAAUCCCGACACGGGGAGGUAGUGACAAUAAAUAACAAUACGGGGUUCUUUCGGAUCUCGUAAUUGGAAUGAGUACAAUUUAAAUCUCUUAACGAGGAACAAUUGGAGGGCAAGUCUGGUGCCAGCAGCCGCGGUAAUUCCAGCUCCAAUAGCGUAUAUUAAAGUUGUUGCAGUUAAAAAGCUCGUAGUUGAAUUUCGGGGUCAGUAGGUUGGUCGUGCCACAGGUAUGAACUGGUCUCACUGAUUCCUCCUUCCUGAUGAACCGUAAUGCCAUUAAUUUGGUGUUGCGGGGAGACUGGACUGUUACUUUGAAAAAAUUAGAGUGUUUAAAGCAGGCUAACGCUUGAAUACAUUAGCAUGGAAUAAUGAAAUAGGACGUUCGGUCUUAUUUUGUUGGUUUCUAAGAUUGACGUAAUGAUUAAUAGGGAUAGUUGGGGGCAUUAGUAUUCAAUUGUCAGAGGUGAAAUUCUUGGAUUUAUUGAAGACUAACUACUGCGAAAGCAUUUGCCAAGGAUGUUUUCAUUAAUCAAGAACGAAAGUUAGGGGAUCGAAGACGAUCAGAUACCGUCGUAGUCUUAACCAUAAACUAUGCCGACUAGGGAUCGGAUGAUGUUAAUUUUUUAAUGACUCAUUCGGCGCCUUACGGGAAACCAAAGUGUUUGGGUUCA